ensembl:lncRNA
CAGUCUCCCAAUUUUAAAACAAUACUAUUGGGCAGCUAACAUGAGAGCUCUGAUGUAUUGGAAUCACGAUGACUUAUUUGAGCCAACUAUGGGUGACCUAUCUUUAUGGCCAAGGAUAGAAGCUUCUUUUAAAUAGAACAUAUCUCUUUCUGCACUAUUGUUUUCUGGCUCUUUAGUAGUUGAUUAAAAAAACAAGUUAAGUUUCACCAUAAAGAAUUCUCUAAAAGUUCCAGUCAGAUUAGAAAGGCCUGUCAUAUUCCUAAUGUCUCUGUAUUUGGUCCCAUCUGUCAGAACCUCACAUUUGGCCCAGGAGAGUUGGAUGAGGUGUUUCCAAUCUCAAAGAAUAUAGGCAUUGUCCGUUUCUCAGAUCUUUACUCUCAGGAGUCACGUCAGCUGCCCCUCUAUCUCCAGAUGACUGCGGACCCUGGGAUGGUGGUGGCAAAGAAACUCAUCCUACUGACUUGGAAGUCAACUACCCAACCAAGUUUGGAGUACUGGCUCAACGAGAUUCUGUCUGUUCUACAACUGGAAAAGCUCAGACUAAAUAAACUUGGCACUCGAAACUAAUUUGGGACGAUAUGGGGGCCUUUUUUGGCCCAGUGUAACAUCGGUCUGCAUUUAUAAGAACAUUUUAUGUCAACUUUUUCUGUAAAGUUAUUUGCCAGUUCAUUUGUUUACCUGAGAGUUCCUACACUAACUAUGACUACUAUUGGGAAGGAUAUCCUUUGUUUCUGUACCUUCUCUUCUUUUUUAAAGUCUCUAAUGUCUCAACAUGUUUGUCUGUUUUUUGUGUGGAAUUUUGUUUUUUUUUAGUUAGUUCUUUAUUUAUAUUCUGUACUAAAAUUGCUAAUUAAAAUAUUUUAAAAAAUAGAUGCACCAAACUUUGUUAAAUGAUCCGACAUGUUAGUAGUAAUAUACCUAUACUUUUUUUUGCCCCACCCCCGCCCCCACCCGCAUCCCCUCACCCCUCCCCUAUCCCCCUGCGCGUUCAUGUGAGGGCAUGUGCGCGUGAAGAAGAGGUCAUCCUUAUCAAGAGCAUCUCAACUGUACUUCCAUAGUUUUCAUUACAAACAGUCUCCUUUAUCUUAUCAUGUCAGAGGGCAACUGAAACCAGGUCCAACAGAGCCACCAAAGGUUUUUUCACCUUUUAUCUUUCCAUUACACUUUCUACUGACCAACCGAUCCUCCAAACAGGUUUCACCUUU